CGGACGGGUGAGUAAUGUCUGGGAAACUGCCUGAUGGAGGGGGAUAACUACUGGAACGGUAGCUAAUACCGCAUAACGUCGCAAGACCAAAGAGGGGGACCUUAGGGCCUCUUGCCAUCGGAUGUGCCCAGAUGGGAUUAGCUAGUAGGUGGGGUAACGGCUCACCUAGGCGACGAUCCCUAGCUGGUCUGAGAGGAUGACCAGCCACACUGGAACUGAGACACGGUCCAG
rnacentral:rRNA from 1 species